rnacentral:rRNA from 1 species
CCUACGGGUGGCAGCAGUGAGGAAUAUUGGUCAAUGGGCGUAAGCCUGAACCAGCCAAGUCGCGUGAGGGAUGAAGGUUCUAUGGAUCGUAAACCUCUUUUAUAAGGGCAUAAAGUGUGGGACGUGUCCUAUUUUGUAUGUACCUUAUGAAUAAGGAUCGGCUAACUCUGUGCCAGCAGCCGCGGUAAUACGGAGGAUCCGAGCGUGAUCCGGAUUUAUUGGGUUUAACGGGUGCGUAGGCGGCCUUUUAAGUCAGCGGUGAAAGUCUGUGGCUCAACCAUAGAAUUGCCGUUGAAACUGGGGGGCUUGAGGAUGUUUGAGGCAGGCGGAAUGCGUGGUGUAGCGGUGAAAUGCUGAGAUAUCACGCAGAACCACGAUUGCGAAGGCAGCCUGCCAAGCCAUGACUGACGCUGAUGCACGAAAGCGUGGGGAUCAAACAGGAUUAGAUACCCCUGUAGUC